GCUCACUUGGGCAGAACAUGCACUAAAAUUGGAAUGAUACAGAGAAGAUUAGCAUGGACCCCUAAGCAAGGAUGACAUGCAAAUUCAUGAAGCGUUCCAUAUUUGG